AGUCUUAACGAUGGAUGUCUUGGUUCCUACAGCGAUGAAGGCCGCAGCAAAAUGCGAUACGCAAUGAAAAUUGCAGUGACUGUGAAUCAUCAGAAUGCUGAAUGUAAACUACACCAAUUCCCUUCGGGGAAUAGUGGUACUCCUACAGAAAAUAAAAUAAUACUUUGCUCUCUAGGUUUCUUUUAAAUAUAAAAUAUGUUUUCAUAUUAUAUGUAUAAAAGAAAAGAGAAAUAGGAAUUUAUUCCAAACUAAAAAUUAAUUUUUAGUUAAAGUUUCUCGCUGAAUAAAAUUUAUUUUCAUUCAUUUUCUAGAGUAACAAAAAAAGAAUUCUUUUAUUCUUUUUAACAAAGUGUUUGAUUUGAUGUUAGGAGGGCAAAUCCGCCGAAUUUAAGCAUAUAAUUAAGCGGAAGAAAAGAAAAUAACUAUGAUUCCUUUAGUAACGGCGAGUGAACAAGGACCAGCUCAAACGGUUAAUCCUUCGUUUGGUGCAAACCUUUCGACGGAAUUGUCGUUGAAUUAUUCCAUGAAUGCCUUUAAUUUGAGCAAAGUGAGCAGGAAUGCUUCCCCAUAGAGGGUGAAAGGCCCAUAGUUCGUUUUAAUUUAUUCAUUGGAAUUUUUCAUGCCGAGUCGUGUUCUUUGAGAUUGGAGCACUAAUACGUGUGAUACAUUUCACAUAAAGCUAAAUAUGUGUAGGAGACCGAUAGCAAACAAGUACCGUGAGGGAAAGAUGAAAUAGUACUCAGGAAUGAGCAAUUAAAUAGUACCUGAAAUCGUUAAGAUGGAACGGAUUAAGAGAGAAAACAAGUAAAGAGGGGAAUUUUUAAAUUUUUUUUGUUAUAAUUCUCUUCUUUAUUAAAAGAAACAUCAGUGAUUAAUUUAAUUUCAAUAAAGCAAUCCCCUGAAAUUCAAAAUUUCUUUUAAUUUUGUUUUCACUUUCUCCCCGCACUAAUGUGGGGAAAACUGGCUUUAUUUCUUCAAUUAUUUUUUUUGCUGAGGAAUUUUAAAAUUAUUUGAAUUUUUCUUCUUAUAAUUUAAGUUGUUUCUAUACAGUACUUUCUUAACCCACUCGUCUUGAAACACGGACCAAGGAGUCUAGCAAAUGUGCAAGUGUAUAUGAUUCUUUAAACAUUUCUCUUUUUAAUAUACGCAUAAUUAAUGUAAUAUGUUUCUUUAUUGUAGAUUUGUGGUGUUUAAUUUUUAUUAAAUCCCCACUUUGCAUACAAUACCGGUAAGCAAUUAUGCUUUAUUGAGUACGAGCAUAUUUGGUAGGACCCGAGAGGCUUUGAACUAAGCGUGAUGAGAUUGAAGUCAGACGAAAGUCUGAUGGAGGAUCGAGUUGAUACUGACGUGCAAAUCGUUCAUUUCAAUCACGUUUAGGGGCGAAAGACUAAUCGAAAAGCCUAUUAGCUGGUUAUUUUCGAAAGAUCUCUCAGGAUCGCUGGAGUUGAUUAAUAUAAUUUUACCAGGUAGAGAUAAUGAUUAGAGGAAUCAGGGAAAUCGUUUUCCUUGACCUAUUCUCAAACUCCCAAUAGGUAAAAAGGGCGAAAUAACUCAACUUGUAUUUCACUCAUAUUAAAUAAAAUAACUCCAAGUGGGCCAUUUUUGGUAAGCAGAACUGGCGAUGAGGGAUGCUCCUAACGCUUGGAUAAGGUGCCUAAAUAUUCGCUCAUGAGAUCCCAUAAAAGGUGUUGGUUCAUAAUGACAGUAGGACGGUGGUCAUGGAAGUCGAAAUCCGCUAAGGAGUGUGUAACAACUCACCUACCGAAUGAACUAGCCCUGAAAAUGGAUGGCGCUAAAGCGGAUUACCGAUACCAAGCCAUAAAAAGAACAGAAAAAAAUUAUUUUUUUUUUAGAAUCUUUUUAUGAGUAGAAAAUCGUGGGGUUUGUGUUGAAGCGAAAUACGUGAGUUUUCGUGGAACAUCUCCCUAGUGCAGAUCUUGGUGGAAGUAGCAACUAUUCAAAUGAGAACUUUGAAGACUGAAGUGGAGAAGGGUUUCUUGUCAACUGUGAUUGAACAAGAGUUAGCCGCUCCUAAGGGAUAGCUGAAAAGUGUUUAAAAGGGGGUUCCUUCCCCGUCUCAAAAGGGAAACAGGUUGAUAUUCCUGUGCCAAUAGUAUUAUGAGUUUCUUAGAUGGUAACAUAUAUAUAAAUGAACUCCUUUACAUAGGCUUUACACUCGGGGUGCGUUUUCUUUGCACUUUACCUUUAUAACAAACCUUGGAAUCAAUUUACUUGGAGAAGAGGUUCGUUGAACUCAAUUCAAAAAAUUUCUUGAACGGGGUUUUCGGAUUCAGUUCAUUUUAUUUUUUGUUUUGUAGCAAUAGUAAUUCGUUUUUAUGAAUUAUCCGAAGUGGUAAGGACUAUCCUUGAAAAAAGGAGGGAACGGCUUUGUAAACUUGGUUUCUUCUGAUUCCAUUUUGCUUUGCUAUACUCUUAAUACUUGUAUGAGCGUACCAACAACCGCAUCAGGUCUCCAAGGUUAACAGCCUCUGGUUAAAUAGAAAAAAGUAGGUAAGGGAAGUCGGCAAAAUAGAUCCGUAACUUCGGGAAAAGGAUUGGCUCUGAGGACAUUAGAAAAGAGAAGAAAAAAAGAGGGUCGAAAAUAAAAUUGCAGUCUUUAUUUGCUUUUCUUUCGAUUUGCUUGUAAUCUGCUUUUUCUUUUUCUUCUUUCUUUUUUUCUCCCCCUCUUUUCGCCUUCACUUUAUUGUAAUUUUAUUACUUUAAUUUGAUACCUAUAAUGUUAACUCAGAACUGAAACGGACAAGGGGAAUCCGACUGUUUAAUUAAAACAUAGCAUUGUGAAAAGCCACAACUGGUAUUAACACAAUGUGAUUUCUGCCCAGUGCUUUGAAUGUCAACUUGAUGAAAUUCAAUCAAGCGCAGGUAAACGGCGGGAGUAACUAUGACUCUCUUAAGGUAGCCAAAUGCCUCGUCAUCUAAUUAGUGACGCGCAUGAAUGGAUUAACGAGAUUCCCACUGUCCCUACUUGCUAUCUAGCGAAACCACAGCCAAGGGAACGGGCUUGGCAAAAUCAGCGGGGAAAGAAGACCCUGUUGAGCUUUACUCUAGUCUGGCUUUGUGAAACGACUUAAGAGGUGUAGCAUAAGUGGGAGUAGAAACUGAAAUAUGUUUUUACGACAGUGAAAUACCACUACUUUUAAAGUUGUUUUACUUAUCCAUUUAUAGGGAAAUAUAUUAUGCUUUAUCCUUCGGGAAGGCAUUCUGAUAUUAUUUGAAUUUUUAAGAAACUUGUUUCUUAUAUUUCUCCCAUUUCUAUGGAGACAUAGCCAGGUGGGGAGUUUGACUGGGGCGGUACAUCUGUUAAAUAUUAACGCAGAUGUCCAAAGACAAGCUCAAUGA
rnacentral:rRNA from 1 species